AUUGAACGCUGGCGGCAGGCCUAACACAUGCAAGUCGAACGAGUGGCGGACGGGUGUGUAAUGUCUGGGAAACUGCCUGAUGGAGGGGGAUAACUACUGGAAACGGUAGCUAAUCCCGCAUACCAUCAUAUGUGCCCAUAUGGGAUUAGCUUGUAGGUGGGGUAACGGCUCACCAAGGCGACGAUCCCUAGCUGGUCUGAGAGGAUGACCAGCCACACUGGAACUGAGACACGGGCCAGACUCCUACGGGAGGCAGCAGUGGGGAAUAUUGCACAAUGGGCGCAAGCCUGAUGCAGCCAUGCCGCGUGUAUGAAGAAGGCCUUAGGGUUGUAAAGUACUUUCAGCGGGGAGGCGUUACCCGCAGAAGAAGCACCGGCUAACUCCGUGCCAGCAGCCGCGGUAAUUC
rnacentral:rRNA from 1 species